GACAAAAAGAUAUUAAUGUGUAGAAAAUGCUACUCUAAAUAAGCACCUUUUCCUUGGAAUAAACAUUAUUGACAAAACAAUAAUUAAUCUUGCAUUGAGCUUUGAAAACAAGUAAAUAGGAACAAAUUUUUACUACAAAAGUGACAAGUAAAAAGUAACGGGGAAUAACAAGCUAAUCUAACUAAGUCUGUUAUUAUCUAACAAUACUAACUGUACAGACCCUAUUAGUUCUUUCUUCUUUCUUCAACAAUCAGUGUGGUGGUGAGGCUAUGGUGGCAUUUGUGGCAUUGGUCAACACAAAGAAGAAUGAGACAAAAUAUUCAUUAGAGAGAGAAGGGGUUGUGGACACCACCUUCAGUUUCUGACUUUUUU
rnacentral:lncRNA from 1 species